AUGUUUGUUACUCCAUAACUCCGUCAUUACUGGACCGAUUUUGAAAAUUCUUUUUUUGAUUGAAUGUAUAUGCAUACAGAUUGAUUGGUCCCGUUUUUGUCAAAACCCAGUUCUGAUGAUGGGGUCCAUGAGGAAUCGAGGGAACUCCUCAAAUCUUAAAGGCAUACAUAUAGUGAUUUUUGGGUUUUUAUCAACAACUCAAGCAUAUACAUCCAAAAAAGUGACAUUUGGUGAAGCGGAACUGCUGAUGAUGAUCAGAACGGAACUCUUCAACGACGCAUAGUACACUUUUGGUCUCUGACCCAGACCAGUUGGACUCGGAGCCGAAACUGGACUCAUACCCUGUACCCUGACUAGGAUCCGGACUCAGACUCGGACACGGAUUCGGACCCGGACUCGG